rnacentral:rRNA from 1 species
GCCCUUCGGGGGGAAAAAUUUAUCGGCAAAGGAUCGGCACCGCGUUGGAUUAGCUAGAUGGUGAGGUAAAAGACUCACCGAGGCGACGAUCCCAUAGCUGGUCUGAGAGGAUGAUCAAGCCACACUGGGACUGAGACACGGCUCAGACUCCUAACGGGAGGCAACAGUGGGGAAUAUUGGACAAUGGGCGCAAGCUUGAUCCAGCCAUGCCGCGUGAGUGAUGAAGGCCCUAGGGUUGUAAAGCUCUUUCACCGGUGAAGAUAAAGACGGUAACCGGAGAAGAAGCCCCGGCUAACUUCGUGCCAGCAGCCGCGGUAAUACGAAGGGGGCUAGCGUUGUUCGGAUUUACUGGGCGUAAAGCGCACGUAGGCGGACUUUUAAGUCAGGGGUGAAAUCCCGGGGCUCAACCCCGGAACUGCCUUUGAUACUGGAAGUCUUGAGUAUGGUAGAGGUGAGUGGAAUUCCGAGUGUAGAGGUGAAAAUCGUAGAUAUUCGGAGGAACACCAGUGGCGAAGGCGGCUCACUGGACCAUUACUGACGCUGAGGUGCGAAAGCGUGGGGAGCAAAACAGGAUUAGAUACCCAGGUAGUCCACGCCGUAAACGAUAAAAUUAGCUGUUCGGGAGUUUACUCUUCGGGGGGCAACUAACGCAUUAAAAAUAACCCCUGGGAUAC